rnacentral:rRNA from 1 species
UACGUAGGGUGCAAGCGUUAAUCGGAAUUACUGGGCGUAAAGCGUGCGCAGGCGGUUUUGUAAGUCUGUCGUGAAAAUCCCCGGGCUCAACCUGGGAAUUGCGAUGGAGACUGCAAGGCUAGAAUCUGGCAGAGGGGGGUAGAAUUCCACGUGUAGCAGUGAAAUGCGUAGAGAUGUGGAGGAACACCGAUGGCGAAGGCAGCCCCCUGGGUCAAGAUUGACGCUCAUGCACGAAAGGCGUGGG